rnacentral:ncRNA from 2 species
GGGCCGGGCCGUGACUGGCGCCUUCAGGUGGAGCACCACCGGGAAGCGGCCCGGCGAUUCCGCCACUGCCGUGCGCCUGGGCACCCCGC